rnacentral:rRNA from 1 species
CCUACGGGAGGCAGCAGUGAGGAAUAUUGGUCAAUGGCCGGAAGGCUGAACCAGCCAUGCCGCGUGAAGGUCAGUGCCCUAUGGGCGUUAAACUUCUUUUGUGUGGGAGCAAUCAUGGUCACGUGUGGCCAGACGAGAGUACCGUACGAAUAAGCAUCGGCUAACUCCGUGACAGCAGCCGCGGUAAUACGGGGGAUGUGAGCGUUAUCCGGAUUUAUAGGGGUUAAAGGGUGCGUAGGCUGUGAGGUAAGUCAGCGGGGAAAUGCCCCCGCUCAACGGGGUGAAGUGCCAUUGAUACUGCCUUGCUUGAGUGCGGAUGCCGUGGGAGGAAUGUGUGGUGUAGCGGUGAAAUGCAUAGAUAUCACACAGAACACCGAUUGCGAAGGCAUCUCACGGAUCCGCGAUUGACGCUGAUGCACGAAAGCGUGGGUAUCAAACAGGAUUAGAUACCCUAGUAGUC